rnacentral:misc_RNA from 1 species
AACUGACUCAGAUUUGCGAGCUUUCUCUUUGAACUGCUCCUGCAUGUGUCUGACAAGAUCAUCACUAGUCUCCAUACUUUCAUCUCCUCGCUUACGGACAACAAUAUUCAAAAUGUUGUCUAAACCUAAAAUCCUGUUAGAGUUCAGAGACUGCUUUUGUUGGAGAGCCAAGUUAUCGUCUUUCAUUUUAAUUUCAUUUUUCGAUAUCCUCUCAAACAAAGAUCUCAAAUACUCCUCUGGCACAUCCUUUCCAUCAUCAAUUCCGCGAUUGUUUCUUAUAAAAUCAUCA